AAAGACCAAAUGGGGUGGGGCUGGAAGGGGGGCAGCAGCUGAGAGCCUCGCAAGCUCUCCCCUGCCUCGCAGCCCUCCUGCUAGGCGCCGCCAUCAGGGCU